ACAGCAGUAGCCGCGGUAAUACGGAGGGUGCAAGCGUUAAUCGGAAUUACUGGGCGUAAAGCGCACGCAGGCGGUCUGACAAGUCAGAUGUGAAAUCCCCGGGCUUAACCUGGGAACUGCAUUUGAAACUGUCAGGCUGGAGUCUUGUAGAGGGGGGUAGAAUUCCAGGUGUAGCGGUGAAAUGCGUAGAGAUCUGGAGGAAUACCGGUGGCGAAGGCGGCCCCCUGGACAAAGACUGACGCUCAGGUGCGAAAGCGUGGGGAGCAAACAGGAUUAGAUACCCCCGGUAGUCCCUGUCUCUUAUA
rnacentral:rRNA from 1 species